GAUGCAUAACAAAAAUAAAUUGUAUAUAUAAAUAUUAAUGCAUUAAAACUAAGCAUUUAUAAAUCAUGUGUUUAUUGUUUUUAUUUUUAAAUAAAUUAAUGUUCAAUAGCUUGUUAAGCACAAAUUUUGUAUUUACUAUAUACCUCAAACUUAUACUUUUUUAGAAUAUUAUGUACAAAAAAGUCAUUGCAAUAAAUCUCAAGUUAUUAAAGUCAGUUAACAAAUAAGUACUGACAAUUCAUUGACUGGAGUGGAAGAUGUUAGUGUCUUGAAUCAACAUGAAACAACAAGUUAACUGAGCUGAGAAUGAUGGUAGUUUAAAAAUAAUGCAGCAUUGGCUAGGAUUGUUCCUUGGUCACAAAAACAAUCUUACAAAGUAAGUUUCUUCUUUAUUAUUUAUUUAGUUAUAUUUUUAAUUAAAUUUUUAUUUUUCAUGUUAACAUGAUACAUAAAACAUUAAUUUGUAAAUGCUUUCAGCAUAAAUUGGUUCUAUUUUCUUUAGUAGAGUUUCUGCUGUUGUCACUGGUUUUAGAGAGUACCUUUGUGAAUGAAGAUAAAAAGUCAUUUAUGUUAUUUUUU